rnacentral:lncRNA from 1 species
ACUGAGUCAACUCAAAAUGGACUCAGUUUUUCUAGUUGAAGUGCCUCUUCCAUCCUGUCCGGUGUUGUCACCACCGCUAGCCGCUACUGUUACCGCCACCGCGUACCUUCCCUCAUGCUAAUUUGCUGUACUCCCUCUGCUCCACUCUUGAUCCUUGGCUCCCUCCGGCAACUCCCUUGCUAAUUCUUUUCUGGUAUGCCGUUAUAAAAUUUUAACAUAAUAAUAUAAACUCGAGGGACUGAUCGAUUGUUUCCCUAACCCAAAGAAUCAACAUUGUACAAAAGACACCGGUGCUGCAUUUUCCGUUUGCUUUCCUUCUACUGCUGAACUAUUCCCAAUGGAUUCCUUUUAUUAUGAAAUAAAUAAAAACAAAUUACUCAAUUUGUUGACUGCAUUUUGUGCCUCAUAUGCAGUCAACAAAUGGAGUUUAUACCGUUGGUGACUAUGACCAGAGAGGAUUUUGCAUGUCGUGAAGCCUACUACACAUGUGGAUGAAGGUGCUACUCAUUCUCUGAUUGUCUUGUGUCAUAUUUCUUUUUUAUUAAUUUAAAAUUUUAACAUUCUAUCAAUUUUGAAACUUGUUGAAUAGAGACUGACUGGUUUUUCUGUGAUAGAUGAUGACUGGAACUUAGUAAAUCAUUCUUAUUUCUCACUUUCACAUUGCUGAUACAGUGUCUUUUUGUUAUUAUUUAUUUUGGCCAGUACACUGUCUAAUGAUUUGUUAUACAAUCAAUGAUAUAUUAAACUCCUCAUUGAACAAAUCUUGAAGAUUAUGGUUUGCACUAUUGUCUUGAAAGAUUAUGAUUAGUCACUUAAGUGGGUCUGUGCAUUUGAAAUGGCCUCCACCGGUCCUGUUCUUCCUUUCUCUAUUUAUAACGGCAAAACUCUACUCAAAAGAAAAAAAAUACUUGUCUUUGUCUGCUUCAAGGAAACUGUAAUUCCUUGGUCAAUGAUAUUUUGACCAUUGGAGAAAAAAGUCAGCGUUAUGACCACUGAAAAUAUAAGUUAGUAGCAAAAGUUUAACUUGCAACUAUGCAUUGUUUUAUGAUAGUUGUAUGAAUAAGACAUAUUUUUUAAAGAUUUGCUUUUGGUACCACUCUAAAAGCCCUUUUACCAAAAGCCCUUUUACCAAUGAAAAUAUCUUAUGUGGAUAUAAACCCAUGCGCAUCUCUUAUUUUAUCCAAUAUGGGACUUUGUUUAUAUCUUAACAAUCUUCUCCUCAAAUAAAGGAGUAUGGUUCUCCACCUCUCCUCUCCUACAGUGGAAGUCUUUUUUUUCUUUAUCCACGAGUACACCAUGGUUGCUCUGAGCAUCUCUUGCUCUCUUUCACGAUCCAUGGUCACACACUGAGCAUCUCUUGCUCUCCACCUCCCAUGAUUAAUCUGGCUGUCUGCCAUUGGCUGCUUGCAAAGACUUCACUUUACCAUGGAAGGACGUACUCGUCUGAGCCCGGUCACCAUACCUAAACCAUUGGCUCUAAUACCAAUUGUAGGAAGGGACAACACACAUAAAUCUCCACAAUAAUAAAAUAUUGUCCACUCUGAACCAAGCCCUUAUGGAUUUUCUUUUGGUGGCCAAAAGAUAUACUCAUUUAUGGUAUUGACUAUGGUCAAGAUUAGUAUCAUUCCACUCUUCCUUGCUAUGCUGCUAUUUUCCAUUGCCCACUUACCAACUUUGCAUUUUAAACGUUUUCCUUUAUGGUGGGAGGAACUAGCUCUGUUACUUAGGGAUUGUAUAAUUUAGUUUGUAAAUUGCGUUAAUCUCUUUUUGGACUAAAGCAAUCACUGUGAGUUUCUUUUGGUAAACUUAGUCAUACUAAAUUUUUUGGAUUGAAGUGAAGUGAGACAAAUCAUUCAGUUUUCUAUUAUCAUAUUUUCUUUGUAAAGUGUGUUUAUCUAAUGAUCUAUGUUGAUGACAUAGUUAUUACAAAAAAAUAGUAACACUUGAAUUUCUCAACUCAGAGCAUUUAUUCAAUCAUUUUAGACUUAAGACUUUGGCUAGCUAAAAUUUUUUCUUGGCAUUGGAAUGACUUGAUCAAAGAAAGAUAUUAUAGUUUCACAAAGAAAAUAUGUUCUUGAUAUCAUGGAGGAGACAUGGUUGAUAAAUUUUGAGCCCAUUGAUAGUCCCAUGAACCCAAUUCAGAGGCUAAUGGUUGACCAAGGUAAAAUCUUUUCACAUCCAGAUAGAUAUAGGAGGUUGUUGCCAAAAUUCAUUUAUCUCACUACUAUAAGACUUGAUAUUGGUGUUGUUAGUCAAUUCAUGUAUAAUCCUCACAUUGACCACUGUAGUGUUGUGGCUCGUACUUUUAGGUAUGUGUAAAAGGCUUUAGGAUAAGGAUUGUUAUAUGAGGAGAAUGGAUAUACUCAAAUUUUUUGAUAUUGUGAUGUAGAUUGGGUUGAUUGACCCACUGACAGAGAUCCUCCUCAAGAUAUUGUUUAUUUAUUGAAGGGAAUUUCGUCCCUUGGAAGAAGAAAUAAAUUGUCCAAUCUAGUGCAAAAGCUAAAUAUAGAUCUGAGUUUGGUCACUUGUGAACUUGAGUUGAUGAAGUAACUUCAAGAGUUCAAAUUUUGUGAAGUUAAGCAGAUGAAUUUGUUAUGUGAUAAUUAGAUACCCUUCAUAUUACCUCCAAUUCACUCUUUAAUGAAAGAAUCAAAUACGUAAAGAUCAAUUGUCAUUUUAUCAAGAAGAAACUACUACUGAAGGAAAUUAGUACUGGAAUUAUUAGCUCUAAUGGCUUGCAGACACUGUAAUCAAGCGUUUGAGGGAGUCUAGAAUUUAAUUUACUGGUUUCAAACUUAGUAUAUACAAUUUAUAUGCUUAAGUUGGAUGGGAAGUGUUAAAAUAGUUCGGUAUUAUUUUGUUGUACAACUCUUAGAAAGGUGCUCUUUGGGUGUACCUAGGCUAAGGGAUUAUGAAUCGGGUUGUAGGUAUUACUUGUUCUGCACUCUUCUCAUCUUUUAGGAUAUGUAAAAGUACAUCAGUUGAUAAAUAAACUCACUGAUUUUACUCACACCGUUCCUGUUUUAGUUCAUAUCAUAUUUCUGGACUCUGAUGUUAUUCCAUACCGGUAAACAAAAGUAUGUGUUGGUACAUUUUAGGACUUAAAUGACUGAAGUUAAAAUUUUCAGAACUGAUACUUUCUUACUGAGACCUAGAAGUUGAUGUAUAACUGCAUUCUAUACCUGCAUUCAAAGCAAUUUCAAAUACAAAACAUGGCAAUUGCUAAUUCUAUCUCAUUCACUCCAAGAGUAAAUGAGUUAUCUGACAAAUGCAACUGGUUACAUUACUUGUUUGUUCACAUAAUCAGGGUGACCCCCUGAAAAAUAUUUAGCUAAAAUUCGUUAAAGUGAAAGAAAAGUUUGUGUUAAGGAGAAAAAGUGGGCAACAUGUAUUUGUGCAUGUGUGUGUGACUUAUCUGGUUAUGAAGUUUUGAAGAUACAUUUUCUCACACCCAUUUGUUUUUUGUUUCUUUUACUGUUAGCCUACCUCUGAGAUGAGGUUGUUGGGAUUCUAAAUAAAACUGAUGUCAGCUUGUUGAAGUAAUUACUGAGACCAUGGAGCAUGUCUGAUAAUUUCCCUUGUGAAACAUUGUAAAUUAAUAAAGUCUCCAUCUUUCAUUGAUGAUAACAGCUGCACUAAGCUGGAUAUGGAAGUCAUUAACUCUAUGAAGUCUUGCAGACUUUCAAACAGGUUCAGAAACUUCUGAACAAGACCAACAGGAAAUUUUAUUGGUGAAUUAAUGAGUACCAUACCUAUGGUUGUUCAGGAGACCUCCAAUCUGAAAAGAUGCAGUUAGCUUCUUCAAUAUUUUUUUUAUCAUUGCUUGAAUUGAUCAUAUAAUUGAGUCCUUCUCUUUCAACUUUACUUUUUUUCUACUUAAAAAUAUGAUGCUUUUAAAUAUUAU